rnacentral:lncRNA from 1 species
UGCACCGUUACAUGAAGAGAAUUCAUUAGCUAGGAGGCCCAUUAAGGUUGGUGGCAAAACAGCUGUGGUUUUUCAAUCAGUGGAUAAACCUGGCUGGAACCGUGGCCAUAUCAGUGGAUCUGGGUUAAUGAUUUCAUGAGUAAGCUGACCUGACAUCUGAGGUUUCUGUUUGGCAUAUUCUCCUAGUACACUGUUCCAACCCAGAAGUGUCAGAACAUUGAGAAGCUCAGGAGUCUAUGUUAGAAAAUAGCAAAGCUGGAGUGAGCCAGAGACACCAGCACAGAGGCAGCACUUGGCUGCUGAGACAGCCUCUCUUCACCAAGAAUCUCCAAGGAGAAAGUCUGCAUGUGGCUUGGAUUUAAGAAGGAAAAACAAAAGCUUUCCUAAAACCUCACUGGAAAAGAAAUGGAACAGUACUUCCCUGGUAUAAAGAAUCUGCCUUGCAGUGCAGGGGACAUCCCUGGUCUGUGAAGAUUCCACAUGCCUUGGAGCAACUAAACCCCAUGCACCACAACUUCUGAGCCCGGGUUCUAGGGCCUGUGAACUGCAACUACUGAGCACUUGAGCUGCAACUACGGAA